UACGUAGGUGGCAAGCGUUAUCCGGAAUUAUUGGGCGUAAAGAGGGAGCAGGCGGCAGCAAGGGUCUGUGGUGAAAGCCUGAAGCUUAACUUCAGUAAGCCAUAGAAACCAGGCAGCUAGAGUGCAGGAGAGGAUCGUGGAAUUCCAUGUGUAGCGGUGAAAUGCGUAGAUAUAUGGAGGAACACCAGUGGCGAAGGCGACGAUCUGGUCUGCAACUGACGCUCAGUCCCGAAAGCGUGGGGAGCAAAUAGG
rnacentral:rRNA from 1 species